rnacentral:rRNA from 1 species
AACGAACGCUGGCGGCAGGCUUAACACAUGCAAGUCGAGCGGGCCCUUCGGGGUCAGCGGCAGACGGGUGAGUAACACGUGGGAACGUACCCUUUACUACGGAACAACUCCGGGAAACUGGAGCUAAUACCGUAUGUGCCCUUCGGGGGAAAGAUUUAUCGGUAAAGGAUCGGCCCGCGUUGGAUUAGCUAGUUGGUGGGGUAAAGGCCUACCAAGGCGACGAUCCAUAGCUGGUCUGAGAGGAUGAUCAGCCACAUUGGGACUGAGACACGGCCCAAACUCCUACGGGAGGCAGCAGUGGGGAAUCUUAGACAAUGGGGGAAACCCUGAUCUAGCCAUGCCGCGUGAUCGAUGAGGGCCUUAGGGUUGUAAAGAUCUUUCAGUGGGGAAGAUAAUGACUGUACCCACAGAAGAAGCCCCGGCUAACUCCGUGCCAGCCGCCGCAGUAA